UUAAAAUUAUCUAAUCGGGUAGAGAAAUGGAUAGAAUUGUAAUAGAUAUAGUUAAAUUUUGUUUAUUGACUAAAGUUGAAUAAAGUGGAAAACUUUAAUGGCUAGUUUAGGGGUUAAAUAUUCCCCUGUAAUGUUUCAUGGAGUAAAUAUAUAUUACUUUAGCAAAGAGUGUUCCUUUAAUGACGUUUGGUUGUGUAUGAAUGAAAAUGAAGAGAGAAAAAUAACAAAUAAAGAGAGAGAAAGUAAGAAAGGAGAAAGUAAGGAAAGAAGGAUAAGAGAGAAAGGGAGGGGAAAGAGAUAGUGAAGGAAAUUGAAAUAAUACAAAGGAGAGGGAUAAGAGAGGAAGUAAAGUGAGAUGAGGAGAGAGAAAAUAAAGAGAAAUAAAACAAAAAGAGAGUGAGAAGAGAGAAAGCAAGGAGACAGAAAAUGAUGCGAAAAGAAAAAUAAAGGAAGAUAAACCAAGAAAAAAGAGAUCCGAGAGAAAGUAAGGUGAUAAAAAAGUAAAAAGAAAGUGAAGACAGAGAAAAUGAGGAAAGAAAAAAAUACAAUGAGAGAAAAUGAUGAAAGAAAGAGAAGUGAGAGAAAGUGAGGAGAGAGAAAGUGAAGGGAAAUGAAUUUUUCUCUUUCACCUUCUUUAACUUUUUUGGAAAAACUUCAAAAACCCCCCCUGUGGUUUCGUGCUUUCUCACUUUAGUACUCUGUGGUUUAAAACGUAUCAAUUUGCCCCCCUGUGGUUUCGUUUUUCUCUUUUUGUUAUCAAUUUUAUUAUUAUUAUUUUUUUCUUAAAUCAGUGACAAAGUUAAAAUUAAAAGAUACUAAAGUGAAUAUUCGAUAAAUAUAGAUGGUUAUCUGAAGUUUUUUGUAUAUAAUUUAACGAAAUGUUAACGAAAAAGCUUCCGAAAAGAUAACAAUGAAACCACAGGGAGGCAAAUUGAUACGUUUUAAACCACAGGGUA
rnacentral:lncRNA from 1 species